UACGUAGGUGUCGAGCGUUGUCCGGAUUUAUUGGGCGUAAAGAGCGUGUAGGCGGCUAUACAGGUCCGCUGUGAAAACUCGAGGCUCAACCUCGAGACGUCGGUGGAAACCGUAUGGCUAGAGUCCGGAAGAGGAGAGUGGAAUUCCUGGUGUAGCGGUGAAAUGCGCAGAUAUCAGGAAGAACACCCGUGGCGAAGGCGGCUCUCUGGGACGGUACUGACGCUGAGACGCGAAAGCGUGGGGAGCGAACAGG
rnacentral:rRNA from 1 species